GAUGAACGCUGGCGGCGUGCCUAAUACAUGCAAGUCGAGCGAACAGACGAGGAGCUUGCUCCUCUGACGUUAGCGGCGGACGGGUGAGUAACACGUGGAUAACCUACCUAUAAGACUGGGAUAACUUCGGGAAACCGGAGCUAAUACCGGAUAAUAUAUUGAACCGCAUGGUUCAAUAGUGAAAGACGGUUUUGCUGUCACUUAUAGAUGGAUCCGCGCCGCAUUAGCUAGUUGGUAAGGUAACGGCUUACCAAGGCGACGAUGCGUAGCCGACCUGAGAGGGUGAUCGGCCACACUGGAACUGAGACACGGUCCAGGCUCCUACGGGAGGCAGCAGUAGGGAAUCUUCCGCAAUGGGCGAAAGCCUGACGGAGCAACGCCGCGUGAGUGAUGAAGGUCUUCGGAUCGUAAAACGCUGUUAUUAGGGAAGAACAAAUGUGUAAGUAACUAUGCACGUCUGGACGGUACCUAAUCAGAAAGCCACGGCUAACUACGU
rnacentral:rRNA from 1 species